GUCUAUGGUCGUUAUCGCGGGAACUGGGAAGUAGCACCCCCUUGUUGGUGAAUGGCGAAACUGUAUAGGAGGCGAAUUUAAAUUGUCAAAAUUAAAAACCAACGAUUUUUCGGUUGAUUCGAUUAUUUAUGUCGAUAUAAUAACUGUAUUGGAGUACCAGCUAGCCUCGGAGCACGUUUCAUUAGUUCCAGCAACCUACAACGGAACAAUCGCAUUUUUGCCGAUAGCGAGCACGAACGUUUCCGGUUGAUUAGUUUCUGCAUCCCUGAAUAGUAGUCAAGUUCAAAAUUAGAUUCGAACUUCGAAAAAUGACCUAAAAAAUUAUUUUAAAAUAUUUAGCCAAACAAAGAAACUUAAUACAGGCCAAAUUGAAUUAGACCAUGCCUCUGAACCUAGCAACAGCGCGACUAGCCUAACCUUCUAGCUAGCCUAGGAGCAUGAUGCUACAUUAGCUAACUCCAGCAGCUCCGCAUUAGUCCGGGAGGACGGGAUAUAGGCCUAUUUGGUCACAGAAGGGCACGCCUGCAGCUGUUAUGGCUGAUAGCCUAGUUUCACUCGAUAAGCCUUUUUCCCUGAAAAUUGUAGGGACUUUCCAGCCGAAAUGCGUCAACUUCCUUGGAAAUCGGUGAAUUCUUGAGCAUGACCCAGUGCGCCUGGUCCCGUACUACACAGUGCGGGCCGCCGUUGACCAGGUCGAAGACCUGCGCGGGGUUCAGCAGCUGUUUGAAGCGCCGCAGGAACUUCACCCCCUGGUUGUCCCCGCUCUUGGAGUUGACGAAGACGAGGAGCGGGCUGGCGCAGGACGGGGGGCAGGUGGCCUUCCAGAAGCCUGCGCAAAAAAAGGGGUUAAAAGCUUUUAACUCCACUUUCAAGCCCCCCCGGCCCCCCGGCCCACCAGCCCCCCGAGCCCCACAGAGAGAGAGGGUCCGGGUCAGAGCCGGGUUUUUGGGCAUACGGUGCGUCCUGCAGACGUCUCUUCAUGCUGCGCAGGUCAUGACUGCAGCUGUGCUCGGCAGGGCUAGCCUCAGGCGGCUGCGUGAUAUGAGUCAUUAUUAUAAUUAAAAAGCACUUUCAGACUCUCAUUACCAGCGGCUCUCUGGAGCUCAUGUUAACGAGCCAAGCUGUAAACACGAGGACCGGCUUGAUGCAAACAACACCUCCAGCGUUAUAUUCUAUAAUGAUCAAUUAGUAUCAGCAAAGCAGGUACAAAGGUAGCAAUACUGCAGUAAUUAAGACUUUACAUGUUUAUAAUUAUUUGACAGUUGUACAAAUCGAAUUUAAAGAAAUCUAUAUGUUUUCAUGGCACUAUCAGUGAUAGCAGCAUUGUUGACUGUUCCAUGCAAACACAUAACACACACUGCAUGCGCUGUUAAGUGUGAACGCUUUAGUAUUGUCUUUCUCUGAUUCUACACCAGACUGUCGGUGGAAACAGUAAAACUGCCAGCCCAGCGCACCCUCCUAUUAUUAGCCAAUCACAGCCUCCCGUGGAGGUGUAAAUUUCAUUUCAGCGUUGAGUACGCAGAGUCACGCACCAACCCCACUACCCGCUGCAAACUGCACUGCACUGCACAAUUUACACUGUGGAGCCAAGUGUUAUUUUGACACUGAUUUCCCCAAAGCAGGGGGCUUUUUCAUUUCCUGUGAGGCUUGAGUCUUUAUCGGCAAGGUAAGAUGGCUGCCAUCCUUCCCAAGGGCCACAUCCGGAAAUGUGAAGAAAUGUCAGAAUCCAUUUACAUGAGCAUCAGUUUCAAACCCAGUACCAGAGUUUGCAAAGGUCAAAGGUCACAAGGACACGGUGUUAAGACUCUUCAGAUGAAGCGAGCUGUAAGCUUCCCUUCUGUCUGAGAGAGCUGAGCGCUUCUGAGUCUGCCCCCAGUAUAAAGCAUUCGGUUAAGGCCUGAAAUAUCGAUCCUGACCUUUCCCGCUGUCUUUAAAUAUCUUGGACAGAUUUCUGCGAGCAAAAUAAGUCAUGUGAUCAUCUGACUUCCCAUCCAUCACAGAUGUCCCCACCCUGCAUUCGUUCCCCAGUCUGUUGAGGCAGCCAGUAACCAAGGCAACGGAGAAAAGUAAAGUUCACGCGGCACUGACAACCUUUCGGAGAAUUCGGUGUCGGGGAGCAGCGCGUGCCAAAUGUACCGGAGAGCCCCUUUUCUGGCUGCUGUAACCAGAUACUGCUUUUCUCCCCACUUCCUGUCAGCAGCAUAAGUCAUGUGAACUCUGUAUCUGCUAAUUACAUUUUUACCACACUG